AACCUCAUCAACUAGGUCUGCCUGG
rnacentral:piRNA from 1 species